GACGAACCACACAAACGUUAUUCGGAAUUACUGGGCUUAAAGGGUGCGUAGGCGGCGCGGAAAGUAGGGUGUGAAAUCCCUCGGCUCAACCGAGGAAUUGCGCCCUAAACUACCGUGCUCGAGGGAGAUAGAGGUGGGCGGAACUUAGGGUGGAGCGGUGAAAUGCGUUGAUAUCGUAAGGAAGACCAGUGGCGAAGGCGGGUCUCUGGACAGUUCCUGACGCUGAGGCACGAAGGCCAGGGGAGCAAACGGG
rnacentral:rRNA from 1 species